rnacentral:rRNA from 1 species
CCUACGGGAGGCAGCAGUGGGGAAUAUUGCACAAUGGAGGAAACUCUGAUGCAGCAACGCCGCGUGAGGGAAGACGGUUUUCGGAUUGUAAACCUCUGUCUUCGGUGACGAAUAAUGACGGUAGCCGAGGAGGAAGCCACGGCUAACUACGUGCCAGCAGCCGCGGUAAUACGUAGGUGGCAAGCGUUGUCCGGAAUUACUGGGUGUAAA